UCAUCUGAUUUCAGCUCUGAGCAGCCGCAUCUAUCGGAAGUCCCUCCGCCUCAGUCGCACUUCUCUGGGCGACACGGCAGUGCGGCAGGUAGUGAAUCUUCUGUCCAAAGCUGUUGGAUGGUCCUUGUCGACUAGUCGACACAUCAGUCCUCCGACUGAGGACUCUGAGGCAGUAGACCAGUCCCAUUCAAUGCCAAGAAUCUUGGAAACAACUUCUUGAAGGGCCGACGAUUGUAGAAAGACACAUAGUCCACAUAGAGACGGGACAGGAAGUCCCUUCGGAAGAUGGGAUCGAUGAAAGGAGUUUGUGUAUUCAUUCGUCUGGCGUUCAAGCCAGUUAGUGCCGUUGAAGCCAGUGCAAGACAGUAGUGGGGUUUCGUAGAAGGCACCAAAAAUGCCAAUCUGUCCUGAGCGCACGAGUGAGGACAGGGAACGAGGAGGCACUCUGCUGCGGGAUAUCCCGACGAGGCCUUGCUUCACGAAUACCUCCCACUCCAGCUAGGCGUACAGGCUAUCGGUGAGAAAAAC